UACGUAGGGUGCAAGCGUUAAUCGGAAUUACUGGGCGUAAAGCGUGCGCAGGCGGCUUUGCAAGACAGAUGUGAAAUCCCCGGGCUCAACCUGGGAACUGCACUUGUGACUGCAUGGCUGGAGUACGGCAGAGGGGGAUGGAAUUCCGCGUGUAGCAGUGAAAUGCGUAGAUAUGCGGAGGAACACCGAUGGCGAAGGCAAUCCCCUGGGCCUGUACUGACGCUCAUGCACGAAAGCGUGGGGAGCAAACAGG
rnacentral:rRNA from 1 species